AGUGAACGCUGGCGGCGUGCCUAAUACAUGCAAGUCGAACGGACGAAUAAGAGCUUGCUCUUAUAAGUUAGUGGCGCACGGGUGAGUAAUAUAUAGCUAAUCUGCCUCUUAGUAGAGGAUAACAGUCGGAAACGAUUGCUAAUACUCUAUACUUCUGCUUUACAUAAGUAAAGUAGAGAAAGUUUUUCGCUAAGAGAUGAGGCUAUACUGUAUCAGCUAGUUGGUAAGGUAACGGCUUACCAAGGCUAUGACGCAUAACUGGUCUGAGAGGAUGACCAGCCACACUGGAACUGAGACACGGUCCAGACUCCUACGGGAGGCAGCAGUGGGGAAUAUUGCACAAUGGGCGCAAGCCUGAUGCAGCCAUGCCGCGUGUAUGAAGAAGGCCUUCGGGUUGUAAAGUACUUUCAGCGAGGAGGAA
rnacentral:rRNA from 1 species